GACGAACGCUGGCGGCGUGCUUAACACGUGCAAGUCGAACGAUGAAGCUGGAGCUUGCUCCGGUGGAUUAGUGGCGAACGGGUGAGUAACACGUGAGCAAUCUGCCCUUGACUCUGGGAUAACUGCGGGACACUGUCGCUAAUACCGGAUAUGAGGCUCGAAGGCAUCUUCGGGUCUGGAAAGAAUUUCGGUCAAGGAUGAGCUCGCGGCCUAUCAGUUUGUUGGUGAGGUAAUGGCUCACCAAGGCGACGACGGGUCGCCGGCCUUAGAGGGUGACCGGCCACACUGGGACUGAGAAACGGAACAGACUACUACGGGAGGCAGCAGUGGGGGAUAUUGCACAAUGGGCGAAAGCCUGAUGCAGCAGCGCCGCGCGAGGGAUGAAGGCCUUCGGGUUGUAAACCUCUUUUAGCAGGGAAGAAGCGAAAGUGACGGUACCUGCAGAAAAAGCACCGGCUAACUACGUGCCAGCCGCCGCCGUAA
rnacentral:rRNA from 1 species